AUUGAACGCUGGCGGCAUGCCUUACACAUGCAAGUCGAACGGCAGCACGGGAGCAAUCCUGGUGGCGAGUGGCGAACGGGUGAGUAAUAUAUCGGAACGUGCCCAGUCGUGGGGAUAACGUAGCGAAAGCUACGCUAAUACCGCAUACGAUCUAUGGAUGAAAGCGGGGGAUCGCAAGGACCUCGCGCGAUUGGAGCGGCCGAUAUCAGAUUAGGUAGUUGGUGAGGUAAAGGCUCACCAAGCCGACGAUCUGUAGCUGGUCUGAGAGGACGACCAGCCACACUGGGACUGAGACACGGCCCAGACUCCUACGGGAGGCAGCAGUGGGAAUUUUGGACAAUGGGCGCAAGCCUGAUCCAGCAAUGCCGCGUGCAGGAUGAAGG
rnacentral:rRNA from 1 species